UAAAAUGUCUAGAAGAAAAGUGCGAGAGCUAAGCAUUCUUCAAGGGACUCCAAACUCGGCGGAAACAAACAGCACUGAACAACAGACUGCUAUUGGAUCUUCGAAUGUUCCGAUUACACCAAAGGAACCUACAGAAGUUGAAACUGAAAAUGGUGGGACGCGGAGAGUUCGAGGACGUACGCUACUGAGGGAUUAAUACGAGCUAGAUCCAGUCGAGCGUGUCAAAGUAUCCAGUAAUAGCUUUGGUCAGCCUGUUGGAUCAGAAGCUCGCCUUUUAGCAGGAUACUUGGGCAUUCUAGCACGGAAUGCAAAUAUGUUGCCAAUUAACUUCGAGUCAUGGCAUAAAAUGCCCGAGAGUAACAAGAACCAAGCUCUCGAUAACAUUAAGGCGAGAUUUGCUCUAGAUGUCUCUGAUGCUUAUGUAAAGAAGGCAUUGGGAAAAAGAUGGAGAGACCAUAAGAGCACUUUAAAGAAAGACUAUUUUAAGAGAAAAACAACACUCGACGAGAAAUUACAAAAUGUCCCGCCGGGAAUGCUGAGGUACCAGUGGGAAGAGGUCGUUAGAUUUUGGACUUCGAAGA